UCUGAUGCAGUAGAACAUACAGAGCACCCUGACUAGUGUUCAAUCUUAAAAGAUUGAGCUUGGUCUGGUGAUAGCCAGACUACACAAAACGCUGCAUCAGUAGCUGAA